CCGAUAUAGCUCAGCUGGUAGAGCGCAUCCUUGGUAAGGAUGAGGCCACGGGUUCAAGUCCCGUUAUUGG
rnacentral:tRNA from 1 species